AGCUCCAAUAGCGUAUAUUAAAGUUGUUGUGGUUAAAAAGCUCGUAGUUGGAUUUCGGCGGGCAUGAGUUGGUUUGAAUCGCUUCAAUACUGACUUCUUUUGCCCGUGUGUUUUGCCAGAAUCUAGCAGGUGAUCUUUACCGAUUGUCCGUUGGGGCUGGUAGGUUUACUUUGAAAAAAUUAGAGUGCUCAAAGCAAGCUUGAUUGCUUGAAUAUUCGUGCAUGGAAUAAUAGAAUAGGAAGUCGUUUCUAUUUUGUUGGUUUUUGGAAAUUGACUUAAUGAUUAAUAGGGAUAGUCGGGGGCAUUUGUAUUCAAACGACAGAGGUGAAAUUCUUGGACCGUUUGAAGACAAACUACUGCGAAAGCAUUUGCCAAGAAUGUUUUCA
rnacentral:rRNA from 1 species